rnacentral:rRNA from 1 species
AACGGCUAUACCAUGCUGAAUAUACUGGUUCUCGUUAGAUCACCGAAGUCAAGCAUUAUUGGGCGCUGUCAGUCUUGGGUGGGUGACCACCUGGGAACACCGCGUGCCGUU